CUUUAAGGUGCCACCGGACUCCUUGUUGUUUUUGUGGAUACAGACUAACACGGCUACCCCUCUGAUACUCUGCAGCCUAGAACAUUAUGGUGAGUGCAUGAAAAUCAGAAAGUGAAACUGAUGAGAACCGCUCCUGCUUGUUUACAAAAGAAAACUUCUUCUUUUAGCUUUAUGACUCUUGCUUCUGCUUGAUUUUUUUAAAUCCAAAAAGGUCAGCAAUUUAUUGAAAGGGCUAAAGGCAAGUAGAAGGCUCCUUGAUGUCCCUGUUGCAAUUCAUGGAAUGGGUUUCAUAAUUUAUUCCCUCCCAUCCAGUUGCUCUUAAGCAUUUCCUAAAUAGAGUGAGGGCUUUGCAACAGCACUUUGGGAGCACUUGUGAUACCGUUCAGAGCUCUCCAUUAAUUCCUGAGGCCUGGUACAACACCUCUGCUCACAUCCAUUAUAUGAGUCUUUAGCACGUUGUUUUGGCCCAAGAUUACAAAUACACAGACUUCUAACUAAUGCAGCAUUUAAAACAGGUUGCAUUUGCAGUGUUGUUGUAGACAUGUUGGCCCCAGGAUCUGAUAGACUCAAGGUGGGUGAGGUAAUUUUUUUUUUAUUGGACCAACUUCUGUUGAUGAAGGAGACAAUCUUUCAGGCUACACAGAGCUCUUCUUCAGGUCUGGCAAAGGUGAUCAGAAUGGCUCAGCCAAAUGCAAGGUGGAACCAAUUGUUAAGCAUAAGGAGUUAACUCAUGUUGCAAGAGACCAUUCAAGAUGAAGUGGACAGUUAAAACCUCUGCAGUCAUAGCACACAGGAAGGUUAGUGGAUUACAAUUGUUGUAAUGAGACAUAAAACCAGCACCUCUAUGGAAUCCAUGACUUAUUUUCUAGCAAAAUUAUGAAACUUCUGAGUUAGGAGCUUAAAUUGGGGGGAAGCGGUUUGCUGAAUACACCAAGGCUGCAGCAGCAGCUGUGGACCUGGGGUGCGAUUCUGAUUCUCCCUUGCAAACUGAUAUGUCCUUGUGUGUGAGAAGAAGAGAUUUUAGUCUCCAAAUCUUGAAACGCUCUGUCACUCAGGGAGUGGAAACAAUAAGGAGCGCUGCCUCAGCAGUCACACACGUUAAACCUCAGUAGUGCCAGGGAGGGGCGUUUUUCAUCUUUAUGAGUGUUGCCUUUUUUUAUUUCUUCUCCAUCAGCAUCCUUAAGACUCUGGAGUCAGACAACUCUCAGCAUUCGGUCACGUCAACAGCUUGGGUGAUACUGAUGAGGCUUUGGAGGGAGUGAGAAGCGGAUUCCUUCUUAUUGGAAAGAGCUCUUCCGAAGAAAUCCACAUGCAUUUCCUUCUCUGCAUUUGUCCCCCCAUGCUAGGAAGAAUUCAUGCCCUAGGCCAGUGGCUAUGGCAUCACUGCUGUUUGAGGCACACAGGCAGGAUGGGUUUCGUAAAGGAGAACCUGUGAUGAGAGCUGCUUGGGAAUGAUGUGCCAUUAUCAGCCAAGUUACAUCAAAGGGAAGACUUUGAUGGAUGGCGGCAUAAGAUGUCCUCAAGGCAGGCUGCGUAUAAACAGGCACACCAUCCCAGACGCCGUAUGAGAGCUUCUUGGAGAGCAAACGGACGGCCCACCCGAACCCCGCCUGGUACAAGCUUGCAAGGAGGAGUCAAGGUCAGCAUUCUGAAGGCAUGAGAGGACAGAGGCUUGAGCCUGUAAUCCUUCCUUAUGGGAGUAACCCUUUCUCAUGCAGGGCUCCCAUAGACGUCCUGCACCAGGGCUGAUGGAGGAGGAAGCAUUACUCAAGUUAAAUGAUACGGAGAAAGUAAAAGUCCCAGCAGGUCCAUAGCAAUCUACCCACUGGCAGGGCGGGUUGCCGGACUCGGCCCUUUCAAUGCAGGGGGGAUGCGCUUUAACCCCUGUGGCUGCUGAAAGGCUCCACUUACAGCUAGCUACUCUUUGGGAGCAAUAGAAAGCAGGGGUUAAGUCAGAGCAACCCUGAGGAUACCGUAAUAUGCGAUGGGAGCUGGGCAGGCCCCUGUAUGGCCCCAGGUAUAUGCUGCCCAAAGGUGCCUUCAAGCCAUCUGAACCUCCCCCCACACACACACCUUUACUCUGUGCACUGGAGUGGAGUAACUGAGAAUCAGGCCCAUCAUGUCUCCCACGCCUUAUCUCUGUCCCAGCCAAGCUAGACUGAUUCAGGAACUCUUAACCUCUCUCCCGACUCAGGCCCCCAGCUCCUCACUCAUUAUUGUCUGAAACCCCACCUCCAGCCUGUCUCUAUCAUCCUGAACGGAAUACAGGUACAUCCUACCAGCCAACAGGAGGCUCCCGUGUCUGCCUCUCUCCACAUCGGCCAAGGUGGGAUUUAAAUCCAUGUGUUCUCUUGGCCUGGGGUGGGAGAGCGGGCAGCAUGACAUUCACAGCUAAAUGGGAGGAAGGCAGAGGAACAAAAACUGCUCUUCCAACAUAUUGCGAUUCCUCAGCAAACUGCCUGGGCCAGGGCCGGGGUGGGGGGAGGCAGCUCCCAUGGUGAGUUCUGCCUUCCUGAGAUAGGAAGCAGACAAGGGCUGGGCUGCACUCAGCAACGUCCUCCUCUGCGCCGGAUGGAGGGAGGCACUUGAUGGCCGACAGCUUUGUUUCCGGUUUAGAAAGGAGGCAAAGCUUUGCAUGAUCAAGUUCUGCAGCUCACAUCCAAACCCAGGGACAAGAUGCCGGAAAGGUCACGUUUAGCCCCGAGAAGGAGGAUUAAAUAGGGGUCCCACAGCCCCGCUGCAUGCCAGAGUUUGAUGGGGCCAUUGGUCCCAACUCCUUCCUCCCUUUGAAACCUCUCAUUGACUUCAGUGGCAGCAGGAGGGGGAUGGAUGUGUACAAAUGCAUGAGCCAAGAAGUGUUGUUAGUGUGUCAGAUGCUUUGAUUCAGAAAGCACGUCAUGCUUCAAUCCACUAACCCCAAGCACCUUUAGCAAGGGAGUCUUUAGCAUGUCAAGAGCACCUUCAUACGGACAGAUCUCAAAGCAUUUUGCAAAUAAUAGACGAUAAAAUGGCUGACCUCAUGGCUGACAGACAAGGAAAACGAUGUACAGAAAGGCUGGAACUCAUCCAAGGAAUAGGAACCGCGCUUUCCUGACUCCGGCUCCCCUGCUCUGACCACUAGACCACACAUUCUCCUUCGGGUGCUUGGCAAAAAAGGAGGCCAUCCAGCCUGAUGGUGACAGGAAGCAGAAGAGCCUUGUCUUGAAAUGCAGAAAUCCUGCUCCCAUUAUCUCUCCCAGUUCAUAUUUGCCAACUGAAAACCUGCAAGGAACAGCUUUGAAACAAAGGGAAAUAAAUCACCAUCAGGAAUGUUUGAUGGAUUAACUGUCUGAGCAAGCAGUAAACCCAUCUCUGAGCUGCCCGGGCAGCCUUCAGCGUCAUGCCCAGAGAAGGGCAGCGUUUUGCAGUAUUCUGCCAGGCAGAUGAACGCGUAGGGUAUGUCUAGCGGCCGUGGGAAGCAAUUCCUCGCCUUCACUCCAACGGGCAUCGCAGCCCCUGAAUUUCAAGUUCCAGCAAACUCCAGAAGAGAGAGCAGCUGAAUUUCACUUAGCUUUGCCUGGAAAUCUUGAAAUUCCAGAGCCUGUGGUCACCCUGAGACUUGGGAGCCAGGCUCCCCUGGGAACUCAGACCACCCCAAAUGAGUCCCAAGCCUAAGCCACACUCAACAGGAAACUUGUUUAAUAUGCCAGCAAUGCCCCUCUCCUAUGUACAUUGGUCAAACUGGACAGUCACUACGCAAGAGGUUAAAUGGACACAAGUCAGAUAUCAGGAAUGGCA